AGAAUCAACGCUAGCGGCGUGCCUAACACAUGCAAGUCGAACGAGAAAGGGUAGCAAUACCUGAGUAAAGUGGCGCACGGGUGAGUAACACGUGACUAACCUACCUUUUAGUGGGGGAUAACCUAGGGAAACCUGGGCUAAUACCGCAUAAUACCUACGGGUCAAAGCAGCAAUGCGCUGGAAGAGGGGGUCGCGGCCGAUUAGCUAGUUGGCGGGGUAAUGGCCCACCAAGGCAGUGAUCGGUA
rnacentral:rRNA from 1 species